CUGGUCGAUCCUGCCGGCGGGCACCGCUAUUGGAAUCCGAUUAAGACAUGCGAGUCGAGAGGGGUAAGCCCUCGGCACACGGCUCAGUAACACGCGGAUAACCUGCCCUCUGGAGGGGGAUAAUCUCGGGAAACUGAGAAUAAUACCCCAUAGUUCUGUGAUGCUGGAAUGCUUUCAGAACGAAAACUCAGGUGCCAGAGGAUGGGUCUGCGGCCUAUCAGGUAGUAGUGGGUGUAACGAACCCACUAGCCUACGACGGGUAUGGGCCUCGGGAGAGGAAGCCCAGAGAUGGACUCUGAGACACGAGUCCAGGCCCUACGGGGCGCAGCAGUUACGAAAACUUCACAAUGUGGGAAACCACGAUGAGGGGAUUCCAAGUGCUAACGCAUUAGCGUUAGCUGUUCUUGUGCCUAAAAAGCACGAGAAGUAAGGGCCGGGUAAGACGGGUGCCAGCCGCCGCGGUAAUACCCGCGGCCCGAGUGGUGCUUGAUAUUAUUGAGCCUAAAACGUUCGUAGCCGGUCUUGUAAAUCCAUGGGUAAAUCGAACAGCUUAACUGUUCGAAGUCCGCGGAGACUGCAAGACUUGGGACUGGGAGAGGUCAGAGGUACUUCCGGGGUAGGGGUAAAAUCCUGUAAUCCUGGAAGGACCACCAGUGGCGAAGGCGUCUGACUAGAACAGAUCCGACGGUGAGGGACGAAGCCCUGGGGCGCAAACGGGAUUAGAUACCCCGGUAGUCCAGGGUGUAAACGCUGCGGGCUUGGUGUUGGAGGUUCUAAGUGAACGUCCAGUGCCGGAGAGAAGUUGUUAAGCCUGCUGCUUGGGGAGUACGGUCGCAAGACUGAAACUUAAAGGAAUUGGCGGGGGAGCACCGCAACGGGAGGAGCGUGCGGUUCAAUUGGAUUCAACGCCGGACAACUCACCGGGAGCGACGGUUAGAUGAAGGCCAGGCUGAUGACCUUGCCAGAUUUUCCGAGAGGUGUUGCAUGGCCGUCGUCAGUUCGUACCGUAAGGCGUUCUCUUAAGUGAGAUAACGAACGAGACCCCUGCCCUUAAUUGCUACUGGUUUCUCCGGAAGCCAGGCACAUAACGGGGACCGCUGACGCUAAGUCAGAGGAAGGAAGGGUCGACGGUAGGUCAGUAUGGCCCGAAUCUCCCGGGCUACACGCGCGCUACAAAGGACAGGACAAUGGGCUCCAACCGCGAGAGCGGAAGGUAAUCCCGAAACCUGUUCGUAGUUCGGACUGAGGGCUGUAACUCGCCCUCACGAAGCUGGAUUCCGUAGUAAUCGCGGAUCAACAUUCCGCGGUGAAUACGCCCCUGCUCCUUGCACACACCGCCCGUC
rnacentral:rRNA from 1 species